UUCAUUUGGAGGGUCAGAAAAGCUAAUUCCAAGUCAAAUAAGGAGAAAGAAGAGAUUUUCCUCCCUUCUAUGAAAGCAAGGGAUACACCAGUUAUUCAGAGAACUCAUCCAUCCCCAAAAUAAGUCAAAUUGAGAGAGAGUGCUUCUAGCAGCCGUCGUCCACACCUUGCUGCCGCCACCUUAUUCUUCUAUUAUUCGUCUCUUCUCUAUGUUUUCCUUGUGUUUUAUUUAUGACUAUGUCUAGCUAUGUCUUUUAGCUAAGACUAGGAUGAUGCCCUAAUGUUAUUAUUCAUGUUUUGGAUGCUAAGUUAAUUGAGUUCCAAAUUUGAUUGAUGAAUUCUUAAUCUCUAGUUUAUUUGGUUCUACUUGUUUGAGUUCUAUUGAUUCACGACCUUUAGGACUUGCAUCUAUAAUAUUUGUGUGUUGUGUGUCGACUUAAUAUGUUGCAUGUUU
rnacentral:lncRNA from 1 species